ensembl:miRNA Mir449a microRNA mir-449a
CUGUGUGUGACGGGUUGGCAGUGUAUUGUUAGCUGGUUGAAUAUGUGAAAGGCACCAGCUAACAUGCAACUGCUAUCCUGUCGCACAUACA